rnacentral:misc_RNA from 1 species
CGAAAUGCGAUAAGUAAUGUGAAUUGCAGAAUUCAGUGAAUCAUCGAAUCUUUGAACGCACAUUGCGCCCGCCAGUAUUCUGGCGGGCAUGUCUGUUCGAGCGUCAUUACAACCCUCAGGCCCCCGGGCCUGGCGUUGGGGAUCGGCGGAAGCCCCCUGCGGGCACAACGCCGUCCCCCAAAUACAGUGGCGGUCCCGCCGCAGCUUCCAUUGCGUAGUAGCUAACACCUCGCAACUGGAGAGCGGCGCGGCCACGCCGUAAAACACCCAACUUCUGAAUGUUGACCUCGAAUCAGGUAGGAAUACCCGCUGAACUUAAGC